CUGCUCUGGUGGCGAGUGGCGAACGGGUGAGUAAUAUAUCGGAACGUACCCUAGAGUGGGGGAUAACGUAGCGAAAGUUACGCUAAUACCGCAUACGAUCUAAGGAUGAAAGUGGGGGAUUCGCAAGAACCUCAUGCUCGUGGAGCGGCCGAUAUCUGAUUAGCUAGUUGGUAGGGUAAAAGCCUACCAAGGCAUCGAUCAGUAGCUGGUCUGAGAGGACGACCAGCCACACUGGAACUGAGACACGGUCCAGACUCCUACGGGAGGCAGCAGUGGGGAAUUUUGGACAAUGGGCGAAAGCCUGAUCCAGCAAUGCCGCGUGAGUGAAGAAGGCCUUCGGGUUGUAAAGCUCUUUUGUCAGGGAAGAAACGGUGGUUUCUAAUACAGAUCACUAAUGACGGUACCUGAAGAAUAAGCACCGGCUAACUACGUGCCAGCAGCCGCGGUAAUACGUAGGGUGCAAGCGUUAAUCGGAAUUACUGGGCGUAAAGCGUGCGCAGGCGGUUUUGUAAGUCUGUCGUGAAAUCCCCGGGCUCAACCUGGGAAUUGCGAUGGAGACUGCAAGGCUAGAGUUUGGCAGAGGGGGGUAGAAUUCCACGUGUAGCAGUGAAAUGCGUAGAUAUGUGGAGGAACACCGAUGGCGAAGGCAGCCCCCUGGGUCAAGACUGACGCUCAUGCACGAAAGCGUGGGGAGCAAACAGGAUUAGAUACCCUGGUAGUCCACGCCCUAAACGAUGUCUACUA
rnacentral:rRNA from 1 species